rnacentral:lncRNA from 1 species
UGUACAAUUAAAAAAUCACACUACAGCCUCUUUAAAAUACCUGCCUUAUUAUAACAGGAUAAUUAUGCUGGUUUUAAUGGAGCUAGGUGCUUAGGGUAAGGCAACUUUAUGUACCAAAAGUACAUUACUUUCACUGAUAUUUGCAGCGAGAGUGUUUAUGAGGACUUCGUAAAAGAUGUAGUGUAGUCUGUAUAAGUUUUAAAAUACUUUGUGCGUUUAAAAUAACAGUGUCCUCCCACACACCAAAUAGGGAGUUCUCCUGGUCCCUGUUACAGUCCCAAAGCUCACCACAUUUGUGUCUUCACUCCAGUUCCCAUCCCUGCUAUGGUUCUCAUGUUACAGGGAUUGUCUUGCCCUUCCAGCAGAGGAUAGCUGGAUGCAAGUACUCCCCAUAUUAGUAUAGAGAUUGCUAGAGAAUGACGCAGAGGCUCUCUCUGCCUCCCAGUGGCUAAGCAUACGGCUUCUGCUACAUUCUCAGCCCCAGAGUGAAGAGCUGAUUUGGAGUUUGAAACAUGGUAGAGCAAUGCACUACUCUGAUGCUGCUGGAUGGGCUUGUAGGGUUGUCGUAACAGCACUUCAGUUCCUUCACCUGAUGGGCUCUGGGAUGCGUACUUCUGACAUAGUUAGUUCAGGGGACAAUUGCUCUUCUCUCUGUUGUGCAUAGACGCUUGAGAUCCAUUUGGAUACAGGGUGGUGGGAUGUAAAGCAGGAGAAAACUUGUACCUGUUUAGGGCACUGAUAUGAAUGUGGAAAAUACCCCUUCCUGACCCUGCAAGAAAAUAAGUGAUGUAAGAAAAUAUUACGGAAGCUUAAGGUGGAGAUUUUCAAAUGCCCUUAAGUGACUCAAGAUUCUCAAUCCCAAUGACUUUCAAUGAGACUUAAGUGCUUAAGUACAUUAAAGCACUUUUGAAAAUGGGAUUUAGGUGCUUUUCA